UACGGGGGGGGCAAGCGUUGUUCGGAAUUACUGGGCGUAAAAGGCUCGUAGGCGGCCAACUAAGUCAGACGCGAAAUCCCUCGGCUUAACCGGGGAACUGCGUCUGAUACUGGAUGGCUUGAGGUUGGGAGAGGGAUGCGGAAUUCCAGGUGUAGCGGUGAAAUGCGUAGAUAUCUGGAGGAACACCGGUGGCGAAGGCGGCAUCCUGGACCAAUUCUGACACUGAGGAGCGAAAGCCAGGGGAGCAAACGGG
rnacentral:rRNA from 1 species